GUGAAAUGAUGAUUGAGUUUAUCCAUUCGCUGAGUAUGCUGCACUGACCUUCUUCCAAGCCUCAGUUCCUGUUCUAGGAACUGGGUGCUAAGUAGCCUCCAAAUGCCCUGCAGUCUGUGGUGUUCUACUAUGGACAGCUUGUGUGUUGGUGGACUACGGGUGAGAAUGAUUGGUGUCAGCAGGGAUGGGUCCCUCUGGGUCCCCAUCCCACCAAGAUGAGUGGUGGAAAUCUGAUCAC